ensembl:snRNA U6 U6 spliceosomal RNA
GUGCUUGCUUUGUCAGCACAUCCACUAAAACUAGGAUGACACAGAGAAGAUUAGCGUGGCCCCUGUACAAAGAUGACACACAAAUUCUUGAAGCAUUACAUAUUUUU